CAGUCGCCACGGGAACACCGAGGAUGCAAGCGUUAUCCGGAAUUAUUGGGCGUAAAGGGCUCGCAGGCGGUUUCUUAAGUCUGAUGUGAAAGCCCCCGGCUCAACCGGGGAGGGUCAUUGGAAACUGGGAAACUUGAGUGCAGAAGAGGAGAGUGGAAUUCCACGUGUAGCGGUGAAAUGCGUAGAGAUGUGGAGGAACACCAGUGGCGAAGGCGACUCUCUGGUCUGUAACUGACGCUGAGGAGCGAAAGCGUGGGGAGCGAACAGGAUUAGAGACCCCAGUAGUCCCUGUCUCUUAUAA
rnacentral:rRNA from 1 species